AUUGAACGCUGGCGGCAGGCUUAACACAUGCAAGUCGAACGAGUGGCGGACGGGUGAGUAAUGCUUGGGAAUCUAGCUUAUGGAGGGGGAUAACUACGGGGAACUGUAGCUAAUACCGCAUACCAUAGGAUGAGCCCAAGUGGGAUUAGGUAGUUGGUGAGGUAAAGGCUAACCAAGACGACGAUCUCUAGCUGGUCUGAGAGGAUGACCAGCCACACUGGGACUGAGACACGGUCCAGAGUCCUACGGGAGGCAGCAGUGGGGAAUAUUGCGCAAUGGGGGCAACCUGACGCAGCCAUGCCGCGUGAAUGAAGAAGGCCUUCGGGUUGUAAAGUUCUUUCGGUGGCGAGGCGUUAACUACAGAAGAAGCACCGGCUAAAUCCGUGCCAGCAGCCGCGGUAAUAC
rnacentral:rRNA from 1 species